rnacentral:rRNA from 1 species
AGAGAGAGACAUGCGCGCAUAUCAAUAAGCGGAGGAAAAGAAACUAACAAGGAUUCCCCUAGUAACGGCGAGUGAAGCGGGAAGAGCUCAAAUUUGAAAUCUUAAAGGGUUUCCCUUUACGAAUUGUAGUUUAAAGAAGUGUUUUCUGUUGAGGUUUUGGUAAAAGUUCUUUGGAAUAGGACAUCAUAGAGGGUGAGAAUCCCGUAUUUGACCUUUACUUUCAACUUUGUGAUACACUUUCAAAGAGUCGGAUUGUUUGGGAAUGCAGUCCAAAAUGGGUGGUAAAUUUCAUCUAAAGCUAAAUAUUGGCGAGAGACCGAUAGCGAACAAGUACCGUGAGGGAAAGAUGAAAAGAACUUUGAAAAGAGAGUUAAACAGUACGUGAAAUUGUCAAAAGGGAAGCGUUUGACACCAGUGUUGUUUUUCUGAAAAUCAAUUAAAGAACUGUUUAUGCUAAGUUGUUUAGACUUUAUCAGCUGACUGUUUAGUUUUGAGCUUUUCUUUAAUGCACUCUUCAGUUUAACAAGUCAACAUCAGUUUCUUUUGCUGUAAAAAAGCUUGAGGAAGGUGGCUUGAGAUCCGUCUUAAGUGUUUAUAGCCUCUUGCCUAUGCAGUCGGAGAGAUUGAGGUCUGCAGCGUAGAUCCUUCGGGGCUAAAUGCAUUUGUGCUAAGUUAUAGCAUUUUAUAGACAACUUGUUGACUAUGAUUUGUCUUGUAGCUUACUCGCUUAUGUUAUUUUACCUACGCUUAGGAUGUUGAGCGCAUGUCUCUCUCU